GACGAACGCUGGCGGCGUGCUUAACACAUGCAAGUCGAACGGAAAGGCCCUGCUUUUGUGGGGUGCUCGAGUGGCGAACGGGUGAGUAACACGUGAGUAACCUGCCCUUGACUUUGGGAUAACUUCAGGAAACUGGGGCUAAUACCGGAUAGGAGCUCCUGCUGCAUGGUGGGGGUUGGAAAGUUUCGGCGGUUGGGGAUGGACUCGCGGCUUAUCGGCUUGUUGGUGGGGUAGUGGCUUACCAAGGCUUUGACGGGUAGCCGGCCUGAGAGGGUGACCGGCCACAUUGGGACUGAGAUACGGCCCAGACUCCUACGGGAGGCAGCAGUGGGGAAUAUUGCACAAUGGGCGGAAGCCUGAUGCGGCAACGCCGCGUGCGGGAUGACGGCCUUCGGGUUGUAAACCGCUUUCGCCUGUGACGAAGCGUGAGUGACGGUAAUGGGUAAAGAAGCACCGGCUAACUGCGUG
rnacentral:rRNA from 1 species